rnacentral:tRNA from 1 species
UGACGGAAGGCUUAUUCCCUAAUGGAGGCCAUCAGGCUCAUAACCUGAAGGUCGUAGGUUCAAAUCCUACUCCCGCAACCA